UACGUAGGGUGCGAGCGUUUGUCCGGAAUUAUUGGGCGUAAAGGGCUCGUAGGCGGUCUGUUGCGUCGGGAGUGAAAACUCAGGGCUUAACCCUGAGCCUGCUUCCGAUACGGGCAGACUAGAGGUAUGCAGGGGAGAACGGAAUUCCUGGUGUAGCGGUGAAAUGCGCAGAUAUCAGGAGGAACACCGGUGGCGAAGGCAGCUUACUGGGACGGUACUGACGCUGAGACGCGAAAGCGUGGGGAGCAAACAGG
rnacentral:rRNA from 1 species